AGUGAACGCUGGCGGUAGGCCUAACACAUGCAAGUCGAACGGCAGCACAGUAAGAGCUUGCUCUUACGGGUGGCGAGUGGCGGACGGGUGAGGAAUACAUCGGAAUCUACUUUUUCGUGGGGGAUAACGUAGGGAAACUUACGCUAAUACCUCAUACGACCUACGGGUGAAAGCAGGGGAUCUUCGGACCUUGCGCGAUUGAAUGAGCCGAUGUCGGAUUAGCUAGUUGGCGGGGUAAAGGCCCACCAAGGCGACGAUCCGUAGCUGGUCUGAGAGGAUGAUCAGCCACACUGGAACUGAGACACGGUCCAGACUCCUACGGGAGGCAGCAGUGGGGAAUAUUGGACAAUGGGCGCAAGCCUGAUCCGGCCAUACCGCGUGGGUGAAGGAGGCCUUCGGGUUGUAAAGCCCUUUUGUUGGGAAAGAAAAGCAGCAGGUUAAUACCCCGCUGUUCUGACGGUACCCAAAGAAUAAGCACCGGCUAACUUCGUG
rnacentral:rRNA from 1 species